UGGGGAAUAUUGGACAAUGGGCGCAAGCCUGAUCCAGCCAUGCCGCGUGAGUGACGAAGGCCUUAGGGUUGUAAAGCUCUUUUUGGCGGGGAAGAUAAUGACGGUACCCGCAGAAUAAGCUCCGGCUAACUUCGUGCCAGCAGCCGCGGUAAUACGAAGGGAGCUAGCGUUGUUCGGAAUCACUGGGCGUAAAGCGCACGUAGGUGGGCAGUUAAGUCAGGGGUGAAAGCCCGAGGCUCAACCUCGGAAUUGCCUCUGAUACUGGCUGUCUAGAGUUCGAGAGAGGUGAGUGGAAUUCCUAGUGUAGAGGUGAAAUUCGUAGAUAUUAGGAAGAACACCGGUGGUGAAGACGGGUUGCUGGGCUGACACUGACGCUGAGACGCGAAAGCGUGGGGAGCAAACAGGAUUAGAUACCCCCGUAGUCCCUGAGCGGGCUGGCAAGGCGCAU
rnacentral:rRNA from 1 species